GACGAACGCUGGCGGCGUGCCUAACACAUGCAAGUCGAGCGAAUGAAAUUCCUUCGGGAACGGAUUUAGCGGCGGACGGGUGAGUAACACGUGGGCAACCUGCCUCAUAGAGGGGAAUAGCCUUCCGAAAGGGAGAUUAAUACCGCAUAAGAUUGUAGUACCGCAUGGUACAGCAAUUAAAGGAGCAAUCCGCUAUGAGAUGGGCCCGCGGCGCAUUAGCUAGUGGUGAGGUAACGGCUCACCAAGGCGACGAUGCGUAGCCGACCUGAGAGGGUGAUCGGCCACAUUGGGACUGAGACACGGCCCAGACUCCUACGGGAGGCAGCAGUGGGGAAUAUUGCACAAUGGGGGAAACCCUGAUGCAGCAACGCCGCGUGAGUGAUGACGG
rnacentral:rRNA from 1 species